UGCUUUUCCCUGGGUGCUCAGGAAUGGGA
rnacentral:piRNA from 1 species